UUGCUUUGCAGUUCUUACACAAUUUUUUUUCUUAUUUACUUCUAAAAGUAAAUAAAAAACUUAUAAAGCUGUCAUUAUUAUAUAACAACUAUACGUAUUAUGAUGUUAUUAUUUAGUUAUGUUGUUGCUUGGUUACAUUUGAUGCCUCCGCACGUGGGAAGCUACCGGUUUGAAAGACGCGGCUUCACUUGCUUUUCUGCACCAAGAUGGCAAGAAUCAGACGAUUUGAGAAAGCUGUUUGCUGGAGCGACGACAGAUACUGGGCAACUUGGGACAAGUGGGGAGAGGUGAAAAUGACCUGAAAUCAAUGAGUUUGAACACUGGACACUACAUUCCGUGUUUGUGUAUAAAGUCAUGUUUAGCGGACAUGCGAGUUCAUUC